rnacentral:rRNA from 1 species
UACACUCCUGCGGGAGGCAGCAGUGGGGAAUAUUGCACAAUGGGCGCAAGCCUGAUGCAGCCAUGCCGCGUGUAUGAAGAAGGCCUUCGGGUUGUAAAGUACUUUCAGCGGGGAGGAAGGCGAUAAGGUUAAUAACCUUGUCGAUUGACGUUACCCGCAGAAGAAGCACCGGCUAACUCCGUGCCAGCAGCCGCGGUAAUACGGAGGGUGCAAGCGUUAAUCGGAAUUACUGGGCGUAAAGCGCACGCAGGCGGUCUGUCAAGUCGGAUGUGAAAUCCCCGGGCUCAACCUGGGAGCUGCAUUCGAAACUGGCAGGCUAGAGUCUUGUAGAGGGGGGUAGAAUUCCAGGUGUAGCGGUGAAAUGCGUAGAGAUCUGGAGGAAUACCGGUGGCGAAGGCGGCCCCCUGGACAAAGACUGACGCUCAGGUGCGAAAGCGUGGGGAGCAAACAGGAUUAGAAACCCCAGUAGUCCC